UACGUAGGGUGCAAGCGUUGUCCGGAAUUAUUGGGCGUAAAGAGCUCGUAGGCGGUUUGUCGCGUCUGCUGUGAAAUCUGGGGGCUCAACCCCCAGCCUGCAGUGGGUACGGGCAGACUAGAGUGCGGUAGGGGAGAUUGGAAUUCCUGGUGUAGCGGUGGAAUGCGCAGAUAUCAGGAGGAACACCGGUGGCGAAGGCGGGUCUCUGGGCCGAAACUGACGCUGAGGCGCGAAAGCGUGGGGAGCAAACAGG
rnacentral:rRNA from 1 species